rnacentral:rRNA from 1 species
AACGCGAAGAACCUUACCUGGGCUCGAAGCGCAGUGGACUGGGGUAGAAAUAUCCCUUUCCCGCAAGGGACUGCUGCGGAGGUGCUGCAUGGCUGUCGUCAGCUCGUGCCGUGAGGUGUUGGGUUAAGUCCCGCAACGAGCGCAACCCUUACUCAUAGUUGCUACCCGCAAGGGAGAACUCUAUGAGGACUGCUCCGGAUAACGGAGAGGAAGGUGGGGAUGAGGUCAAGUCAGCAUGGCCUUUAUGUCCAGGGCUACACACGUGUUACAAUGCGCGCUACAGAGCGUUGCAAACCCGCGAGGGGGAGCUAAUCGCACAAAAGCGCGCUCAGUUCGGAUUGCAGUCUGCAACUCGACUGCAUGAAGCCGGAAUCGCUAGUAAUGGCGCAUCAGAACGGCGCCGUGAAUACGUUCCCGGGCCUUGUACACACCGCGCAUA